AAAAAACAUUUUGAAGGCUAUAGGAAGGCUGGAGGGGAAACCAUCACUUGUGGCCAGUGUGGGUGUGGACCGUGGCAGCUGAGAGCAACAGAGACAAGCUGAGGGACAGCUGUCUGUCUCCUCCAUGAUGUUAUUAUCUCUGAGGGGAGAACUUCAGAAAUAUAACUUAAAGAAAGAAAAAAAUGUCAAAGAGGUCAUGGGACAUUGUUCAAUAAUAAAGCACAUGUCUGCACAAGGUCUUGGAUUUGGCCUCCAGCAUACCUGCCACCAGUGAGUGAGGAAAAAGGACUUGAAUAAAUUUUCUCCAGAGAAAAUGAAAAUACAGCUUGGUGGUGGCACAUGCCUUUAAUGCCAGCACUCAGGAGGCAGAAGCAGGAUGAUUUGUGUGAAUUUUAGGCCAGUCCGAUCUACAGAGUGAGUUCUUG
rnacentral:lncRNA from 1 species